UGGGGAAUAUUGGACAAUGGGGGAAACCCUGAUCCAGCAAUGCCGCGUGAGUGAAGAAGGCCUUAGGGUUGUAAAGCUCUUUCGCCCGCGAAGAUAAUGACGGUAGCGGGAGAAGAAGCCCCGGCUAACUCCGUGCCAGCAGCCGCGGUAAUACGGAGGGGGCUAGCGUUGUUCGGAAUUACUGGGCGUAAAGCGUACGUAGGCGGAUGCGCAAGUUGGGGGUGAAAUCCCGGGGCUUAACCUCGGAAUUGCCCUCAAAACUGCACGUCUUGAGACCGAGAGAGGUAAGGGGAAUUCCUAGUGUAGAGGUGAAAUUCGUAGAUAUUAGGAAGAACACCAGUGGCGAAGGCGCCUUACUGGCUCGGUACUGACGCUGAGGUACGAAAGCGCGGGGAGCAAACA
rnacentral:rRNA from 1 species